GAUGAACGCUAGCGGCAGGCCUAACACAUGCAAGUCGAGGGGCAGCACAGGUAGCAAUACUGGGUGGCGACCGGCGGAUGGGUGCGUAACGCGUAUGCAACCUACCAUUGAUUGGGGCAUAGCCCGAAGAAAUUCGGAUUAAUACUCCAUAAUAUUCAUCAAAGGCAUCUUUUAUGAAUUAAAGCUUUUGCGAUCAAUGAUGGGCAUGCGUGACAUUAGUUAGUUGGUGAGGUAACGGCUCACCAAAACGAUGAUGUCUAGGGGUUCUGAGAGGAUUAUCCCCCACACUGGUACUGAGACACGGACCAGACCUCCUACGGGAGGCAGCAGUGAGGAAUAUUGGUCAAUGGACGCAAGUCUGAACCAGCCAUGCCGCGUGCAGGAUGACGGCCCUAUGGGUUGUAAACUGCUUUUCCACGGGAAGAACCCUCCGACGUGUCGGAGACGUGACGGUACCGUGGGAAGUAAGCAUCGGCUAACUCCGUG
rnacentral:rRNA from 1 species